rnacentral:lncRNA from 1 species
UUGUUAGCUUUUUUUUAAAUUACAGCCAAAUGUCCUUGCAGAAUAGAUUUUCUUAACGUUUCUGACCUGCUAGCACCCUGUCCUAUGGCUUUGCUGGAUUAGCCUGAAUAUUGCCUGUGGAAGUGACAUGCUCGUGUGAUUUUUGCAGUGAGCUGGAGUACCAGAGUCUGUAACACACAUUGAAGUCACAGAUGUAAGGCCUGCUGUACACCACUGUGCAGGACGUUCUGUCAAGCUCAGCUUCUAGAGACAGAAGAAUCCCUUUAUUUCCCUGGGUCUGUGAACCACGUGAAACUGAAAUGUCUGCAACACCCUGAGUGUACUAAAUGGCAUUUAAGGCAGCAUCCAUCUGAUAUAAAUAUGUGAGUGCAAGAAGACUUUUACUGAAGGCACUAUGACAGACUGGCUGCAGACUUCUUGUAGAACUGUAGGUAUCCAAAAACUGUCUUAAUCUUGCUGCAUCUCUUUUGUCUUUAGUGCCUGAGUGGAACUUCCUCUUCUGAAGGAUCCUGACAGCAUUUGCUAUGGAGGAGUGCCAUCACUAGCAACGAUAAAAAUGCAGGAUAGAGGAGUGUAGAGGAGACUGGAGUUGCUGACCUCACUGGAACUUGUAUAAGUCAGUGGAAUAUAAGGAGAACUCACUUGCUCUUGCAAUGACCUCCAGUAUAAAACAUUGCAACCAAGGAAAGGUCAAAGAAUUAAAGCAAGCCAAUUGGUAGUGCUUCAGUAAAGCAGCUAAAAGUUUCUCUACUUGACCUUGAAAUAA